rnacentral:rRNA from 1 species
UCGAAGCACGGGCCAGGAGCCGGGGUAAUACGUGGGGGGGAAGCGUUAUCCGGAUUUAGUGGGCGUAAAGCGAGCGCAGGCGGUUGGUGAAGUCUGAUGUGAAAGCCCUCGGCGUAACCGAGGAAGCGCAUCGGAAACUGGGAAACUUGAGUGCAGAAGAGGACAGUGGAACUCCAUGUGUAGCGGUGAAAUGCGUAGAUAUAUGGAAGAACACCAGUGGCGAAGGCGCCUGUCUGGUCUGUAACUGACGCUGAGGCUCGAAAGCAUGGGUAGCGAACAGGAUUAGAUACCCCAGUAGUC